CACCCAAACCUGAAACUUGAUUAUGUUGGUCAUCUCAAAGUCCUCAAUCCAAACCAAAAUCUCAACGAAGUUGGACUCUAAGUCCAUGUUAGUUACAUACAGCCCAGUUGAAACCAAAUAGACUGAAAACUACUUCCAUCUUUGUGCUAGCAAACACCAAACAAGCUCAACAUGAGUGAGCUGACCAAUAUCAACUGGCAGACAAAGUACUCAGCUGAAUACUCCAAAAAAGAAAAGCUUGAGUACAAUCAUUGUUUAGGAUCUCAGUCAUUUGUUGCAACAAUGACUAUACCGGUAACUAACAGGAGAGGAGCUGCGGAGGCAAUUGGAGCAGAAGAGGAGAGAGCAUGAGGAGGAAAGGAAAGAGCGAGAGGAAGAACAUAAGCAAAUUGCACAUCUUACAAGUUUGGUGACAAAGUUCUUAAAGAAAAAGACUCAAACACACAAGUCAUCUAUCCAUCAUGAUGGGGCCAUGUAUUCAACUAGUGGUACAAAUACUCGUUGAUACAUGGUGGAGUUAUGAGCAUGUGAAAUCUAGUUUUUGGUACAUGGAUAGCUUUUGUUCAUAUGAUCAUGGUGAAGUUGUCUACAAGCAGAAUCCAGUUUUUGGUAUAAGAAUAUUUUUGUCUAUAUGAUGGUUGUUUGGAGGAAUAGCAAGAUCAGAUAUUUUGAAAUUUUUAAUUUACAUUUUGAUAUGUUUGGUGAUGAUUAUCACCUUAACAUAUGGUAUGGAUGAAACAUUGUGAUGUAUGGUUAAUAGAUAUGCUUGACUUUAGACUUAUAGAUGAUGAUAUUUAUAAUGAAUGAUUAUGGAUUCUCCAACAUUGUGUAUACUUCUAUUUGGAUGAGCAAAUGUAUUGUGCAAUAUGGAUAUUGGAUAGGCUGUGUUGGUUGUACAGGAUUUGGAACGAGCCCAAAAAUAAAUAUUAAGCUUAUAAUUUGAAUUGUUAAUUAAAUACAGGUUAAUACUU